AUCCCAGACUCCUACGGGAGGCAGCAGUGGGGAAUAUUGCACAAUGGGGGGAACCCUGAUGCAGCGACGCCGCGUGAGUGAAGAAGUAUUUCGGUAUGUAAAGCUCUAUCAGCAGGGAAGAAGAUGACGGUACCUGACUAAGAAGCCCCGGCUAACUACGUGCCAGCAGCCGCGGUAAUACGUAGGGGGCAAGCGUUAUCCGGAUUUGCUGGGUGUAAAGGGAGCGUAGACGGCAGGGCAAGUCUGGAGUGAAAGCCCGGGGCCCAACCCCGGGACUGCUUUGGAAACUGCCAUGCUAGAGUGCUGGAGAGGUAAGCGGAAUUCCUAGUGUAGCGGUGAAAUGCGUAGAUAUUAGGAGGAACACCAGUGGCGAAGGCGGCUUACCGGACUGUAACUGACGUUGAGGCUCGAAAGCGUGGGGAGCAAACAGGAUUAGAUACCCUAGUAUG
rnacentral:rRNA from 1 species